rnacentral:rRNA from 1 species
UUGAAUUGAAGAGUUUGAUCAUGGCUCAGAUUGAACGCUGGCGGCAGGCUUAACACAUGCAAGUCGAACGGUAGCAGGAGAAAGCUUGCUUUCUUGCUGACGAGUGGCGGACGGGUGAGUAAUGCUUGGGAAUCUGGCUUAUGGAGGGGGAUAACUACGGGAAACUGUAGCUAAUACCGCGUAGUGUCGAGAGACGAAAGUGCGGGACCGCAAGGCCGCAUGCCAUGAGAUGAGCCCAAGUGGGAUUAGGUAGUUGGUGGGGUAAAGGCCUACCA